GCCAAGCAACAAGUGGCAUUUUCCAUGGUUCCUGCUAUACUUCUCGGAUGGGAAGAGGUGUACUGCGGUGGGUAAUGACAGCAGACUUGCCUUCAGUGAUGGACUCUGCCCUGGAGUUGUAAAUAAACCUAAAUCGCUUUUGGUCAGAGAGUUUCAUCACAGCAACAGAAAUGAAACUUGAACAGAAGGACAAGAGUUGAGAAAAUCAACAGCCGUGGAAAGACCUCAUGAGUCGCCUUAGUCUCUGCUUCUAGGAUAAAGAACUUGGAAUAGUCUAGGAGACCAGAUCAAAGGAAGAACAAGCAAGGGGUGGGGGAGGAAACUGCUAAUAUUUCAAAACUUUAUCUUGGUGCCGAAGACACUUAACUCCCACCUCACAGCCUUCCCUCUUACCUUACCUCUCUGGCACGAAGUGGGAGUCUGAGGAACUGCCAGCUAAUUGAACAGCAAGUCUGAGACGCUUACCCCUGCUAACCUUGCAGCUGUACGAAUCAUCCAGUUCUGAAGCCAGCAACCUUGGGGGGAGGAUGAAGAAUCCAUGGGAGCAAGCUCCAUCUAUAACACCCUGGACAAUGGUGGGUAUGGAAAGAACGAAGCUGCUUUGCUCAUGGCUGAAGCUAUAGCUAUGCACAUAGCCAUUCUUUCCACACAGAAGCACUGAGUGCUGGGUCUAGAGAGACAGGUCAGUCAACAAAGCCUGUGCUGUGUAAGCGUGAAAACCUGAGAUCCCCAGAAUCCACGUGAAUGAACAGACAACUGGGCAUGCUGGUGUACAUUUUUAAUCUCUGUUGGGAAGUAGAUGCAGGUAGUUCCCUAGGGCUCUCUAGUCAGCCAAUCGAGAGAAAUCAAAGAGGUCC